rnacentral:rRNA from 1 species
GGGCCCGCACAAGCGGUGGAGCAUGUGGCUCAAUUCGAGGCAACGCGAAGAACCUUACCUGGGCUCGAAAUGUAGGGAUUAAUCUGAUGAAAGUCGGAGGAUUGCCGCAAGGCGUAACCUAUAUAGGUGCUGCAUGGCUGUCGUCAGCUCGUGCCGUGAGGUGUUCGGUUAAGUCCGGCAACGAGCGCAACCCGUGUCAUUAGUUGCUACCAAGUAAUGUUGGGCACUCUAAUGAGACUGCCUGUGUUAAGCAGGAGGAAGGCGCGGAUGACGUCAAGUCAGUAUGGCCCUUAUGUCCAGGGCUGCACACGUGCUACAAUGGUCGGUACAAUGGGUAGCAAUACCGCGAGGUGGAGCAAAUCCUUAAAACCGGCCUUAGUUCAGAUUGCAGUCUGCAACUCGACUGCAUGAAGUUGGAAUCGCUAGUAAAGGCGUAUCAGCCACGACGCCUUGAAUACGUUCCCGGGCCUU